AGCAUCACUGGCUUGUACUUUUAGCUGUCCAUUGAGUACAUAUUAUAAUGGAUUUUAGCCAAGUGAAUUGCAGGGUAUUAUAGUCAUUUUCUCUCAGUGCAUAUAUACUCAUCAUGACCAUUGGAUUCCUACCAUCAGAAUCAAACACAAUAUCUCCAUCUCCAGAUCUGUUUUUCCCCCAGCUCAGUUGAAGGAAUGCAUAAGGUGCAAAGAUGGAGGACUGCCCUUACUCAAUUGGCCAAUCUGAAAGGCUGUGAUAUCCUCAAUAGGGUUGAAUCAGAGAGCAUUAAGCUGAUUGUCGGCCAAAUUCCUUCAUUAUGCAAGCCACUUUUAUCAUCACCCCAAGAUGUUGUGGGUAUAGGAACUCAUUUGGAGCAAGUGAAAUCUCUGCUAUGGACGGAAAUUAAUGACAUUCGAAUUGUUGGUAUCUUGGGUAUUGGAGGAGUAGGAAAGACGAUAGUUAUAAGAGCUGUUUUGAUGAGCUCUCUAAUCAAUUUGAAGCUUCUUGUUUCCUUGCGGAUGUUAAUGAUAACGGAAGCAGAGUUAUCAUAACUACAUUACAUCAUAGCAAGUAAACUUCAUUUUAAGAAGGUUCUAAUUGUGCUUGAUGACAUAGAUCAAAGAAGGUUCUAACUGUGCUCAAUGACAUAGAUCAUACAAACCAAUUCGAUUACUUUGCAGGAGAUCUUGGUUGGUUUGGUGAUGACAGUAAGAUUAUCAUAACAUCAUAGCAAAUAGACUUCGUUUUAAGAAAGUUCUAAUUGUGCUUGAUGACAUAGAUCAUAUAUACCAUUUGAAAUACUUUGAAGGAGAUCCUAGUUGAUUUGGUGAUGGCAGUAGAAUUUAUAACAACUAAAGACAAGCAAUUAGUAAGUGACUACUCUAGCUAACCAUGAAGUUAUUCUAUUGUUCAAUCAACACGCUUUGAAGAAAAAGUUCCAAAUAAGUGUUUUGAGAAGCUCUCAUUGGAAGUAGUAAAAAUCAUGCUAGAGGCGGUGCUUUCUUUAGCCCUGAAAGUGUGGGGGUGCUUUCUUGUAGGAAAGACAUAACCGUACGGAGAAGUGCUAUAGAGCAAUGACAAAUAACUUUGGAUCAGAAAUUGUUAGACAACUCAAAAUAAGCUAUGAUGGAUUGGAGCAAGAGAUAUUUCUAGAUAUAGUAUGUUUCUCUCGAGGGUAUCAUGAAUAUUACAUCAUAAAUAUCCUUGAGAGUUGUCGAUUUGAACUUACUAUCGGAUUGAGUGUCCUAAUUGAAAAAUCUCUUGUGCUCGUCUUUGAAGAAUAUACAAUGAAAUGCAUGAUUUGAUAAAACGUUAUGGGUAAAUAUCUUGCUACUAUGAAAAAUGAUCCCGGAACAUAGCAUACUACGGCGCAUAGAUUUGGACUUAGCAAAUUGCAAGAUGCUUAAAGAGCUUCCAGUACUUCCACCAAAAAUAGCUACCGUGAAUGUAAAUUUUAAGGUGGCUCUGAAAAGUAUUCAGAAUUUGGUGGCUAGGUACAAGAAAUCACAGCUUGUAUUAUUUACACCCAUGUAUGAUGAGUAUGAUGUGUUCACUGCUUUUUUAACUAAUGAUUCCUUAGCACAAAUCCUAUUUCAGUGUAUCUUCUCCCUGCAACAUGCCGUCUCCACUUCUACUUCCUUGUCUGUCUCAGAGAGUGUUCACCAUGGUGCAUCCUGGUAUAGAGAUCCCAAUUUGGUUCAACCAUAGGGGACUCCGUGGAAAUGAGCUGGUGGUCAGGUUGCAUAAAAAUUGGUACGUAAAUGGUAACUUCUUCGGAUUUUCUAUAUGUUGCUGUAGAAGCUCAUAUGAAACCACGGUAGAAGUGAUCCACUUAUCUAAUGAUGAUGAGUCGGAGAAGCUGAGCAAGAAACUUGAAUUAUACUCUCGUCCAGAGUGUAAUUCAGAAUUUGGAGUACAGUUUUUCUUCAUACGUCUUGCUACUUUAUGGGAAUGGACAUAAGGCAAAUGGAUAAACACCAAAUGUCUAUGAGCAUCUUAUGUUCUCUACCUUUGAAGUAAUGAAUGAGUUUGGAUAUCCUUUGUUGUAUAGGGAAUCAAUUGGGCCAGCUGGGACAGCUUGGUAAGGAAUAUGAGGCAGAAAUGGUGGAAGACAAUCCCUGCGUGCAUUUUGUUGUCAAUAGGGAAUGAACGGAAUUCAAGACGGUUUGAGGAUAGUGGUAGCUGUAUUCCGAAAAUUAAGAUGAUUUGUCUUCUUCUGUUGUUUUUGUGUAAAGAAGAAUUAGUUGAUGAUGCAGGAUCUACACUUGGCAUCAUAGGAGCCUUGUAGAAGAACAAGAAUUUUCUUUUUGUUGGUCAGUGAACUGUAAACAUGGAUUCCUGCAGUCUUUCUGAUGAAGUUUUUCAAUAAUAUUGUCACUGUUACCAUUCUCGAAAAAGAAAUUUUUUUGUGCUUUUCCUUUCCAGUGAUCAAUUGAAAAGGAAAGAGAAGGUUUUACGUUGUUUUGGUGCAUUUUACGGGGACGAAGGAAAAUUGCAAAGUUCAUUAUAGAUUUUUCUUUUCAGCAAAAUUCUCAUAAUCGCAUAGCUCUUGUUGAUGUCAUCCUAUAUAUUAUUUUCUCUUUACUUUUUGGUUAUGGUUUUU